UGGGGAAUUUUGGACAAUGGGCGAAAGCCUGAUCCAGCAAUGCCGCGUGUGUGAAGAAGGCCUUCGGGUUGUAAAGCACUUUUGUCCGGAAAGAAAUCCUUGGCUCUAAUACAGUCGGGGGAUGACGGUACCGGAAGAAUAAGCACCGGCUAACUACGUGCCAGCAGCCGCGGUAAUACGUAGGGUGCAAGCGUUAAUCGGAAUUACUGGGCGUAAAGCGUGCGCAGGCGGUUUGCUAAGACCGAUGUGAAAUCCCCGGGCUCAACCUGGGAACCGCAUUGGUGACUGGCAGGCUAGAGUAUGGCAGAGGGGGGUAGAAUUCCACGUGUAGCAGUGAAAUGCGUAGAGAUGUGGAGGAAUACCGAUGGCGAAGGCAGCCCCCUGGGCCAAUACUGACGCUCAUGCACGAAAGCGUGGGGAGCAAACAGGAUUAGAUACCCUGGUAGUCCACGCCCUAAACGAUGUCAACUAGUUGUUGGGGAUUCAUUUCCUUAGUAACGUAGCUAACGCGUGAAGUUGACCGCCUGGGGAGUACGGUCGCAAGAUUAAAACUCAAAUGAAUUGACGGGGUCAUAGCUGUUUCCUG
rnacentral:rRNA from 1 species